rnacentral:rRNA from 1 species
CGUGUAGGCGGCCGAUUAAGUAUGAAGUGAAAGUCCUGCUUUCAAGGUGGGAAUUGCUUUGUAGACUGGUUGGCUUGAGUGCGGAAGAGGUAAGUGGAAUUCCCAGUGUAGCGGUGAAAUGCGUAGAGAUUGGGAGGAACACCAGUGGCGAAGGCGACUUACUGGGCCGUAACUGACGCUGAGGCGCGAAAGCGUGGGGAGCGAACAG